rnacentral:tRNA from 3 species
GCCCGGGUGACGGAACAGGUAGACGUGGCGGACUUAAAAUCCGCUGCCCUUCGAGGGCGUGUGGGUUCGAAUCCCGCCCCGGGCACCA